GCUUACGGCCAUACCAGCCUGGGUACGCCUGAUCUCGUCUGAUCUCGGAAGCUGAGCAGGGUCGGGCCUGGUUAGUACUUGGUUGGGAGACCGCCUGGGAAUACCAGGUGCUGUAAGCA
rnacentral:rRNA from 1 species